CGGCCGAAGGUGGGAUUAGUGAUUGGGGUGAAGUCGUAACAAGGUAGCCGUAGGAGAACCUGCGGCUGGAUCACCUCCUUUCUAAGGAGA
rnacentral:rRNA from 1 species